rnacentral:rRNA from 1 species
UACGAAGGGGGGCUAGCGUUGCUCGGAAUCACUGGGCGUAAAGCGCACGUAGGCGGACUCUUAAGUCAGGGGUGAAAUCCUGGAGCUCAACUCCAGAACUGCCUUUGAUACUGAAGAUCUUGAGUUCGGGAGAGGUGAGUGGAACUGCGAGUGUAGAGGUGAAAUUCGUAGAUAUUCGCAAGAACACCAGUGGCGAAGGCGGCUCACUGGCCCGAUACUGACGCUGAGGCACGAAAGCGUGGGGAGCAAACAGGG